GAUGAACGCUAGCGGGAGGCUUAAUACAUGCAAGUCGUACGGUAACAGGUGUAGCAAUACAUGCUGACGAGUGACGCACGGGUGAGGAACACGUACGCAAUCUGCCUUUGACUGGAGGAUAGCCCUGGGAAACUAGGAUUAAUACUCCAUAACAUCACGGUGCGGCAUCACAUUGUGAUUAAACUUUCGGGGGUCAAAGAUGAGCGUGCGUUUGAUUAGGUAGGUGGCGGGGUAACGGCCCACCAAGCCUACGAUCAAUAGCUGGCGUGAGAGCGCGACCAGCCACACGGGAACUGAGACACGGUCCCGACUCCUACGGGAGGCAGCAGUAGGGAAUAUUGGACAAUGGCUGAAAAGCUGAUCCAGCCAUCCCGCGUGAAGGCAGAAGGUCCUAUGGAUUGUAAACUUCUUUUCUCUGGGAAGAAAAGGCGGGUUUCUACCUGCUCUGACGGUACCAGAGGAAUAAGCACCGGCUAACUCCGUGCCAGCAGCCGCGGUAACAC
rnacentral:rRNA from 1 species